AUUGAACGCUGGCGGCAGGCCUAACACAUGCAAGUCGAGCGGUAGCACAGGGAGCUUGCUCCUGGGUGACGAGCGGCGGACGGGUGAGUAAUGUCUGGGAAACUGCCUGAUGGAGGGGGAUAACUACUGGAAACGGUAGCUAAUACCGCAUAACGUCGCAAGACCAAAGAGGGGGACCUUCGGGCCUCUUGCCAUCAGAUGUGCCCAGAUGGGAUUAGCUAGUAGGUGGGGUAACGGCUCACCUAGGCGACGAUCCCUAGCUGGUCUGAGAGGAUGACCAGCCACACUGGAACUGAGACACGGUCCAGACGCCUACGGGAGGCAGCAGUGGGGAAUAUUGCACAAUGGGCGCAAGCCUGAUGCAGCCAUGCCGCGUGUAUGAAGAAGGCCUUCGGGUUGUAAAGUACUUUCAGCGGGGAGGAAGGUGUUGAUGUUAAUAACCUCAGCAAUUGACGUUACCCGCAGAAGAAGCACCGGCUAACUCCGUGCCAGCCGCCGCCGUAA
rnacentral:rRNA from 1 species